AAGUCACAGAGAGCAUGGAAGGUAACAUGGAAAUUAAUGGCACGUUGCACCCAAGGAUUGCCAUCAGGAGGGGAUUAGUCCAUACUGGAUAAGAAGUCUUGCGGAAUCUUGGGGCUCUAUAAAGCUAUGAAGUCUGUUUGCAGAGCUAUAAACGUGUGUCUGUGGAUUCCUUUGCCAGUAAGUAUUCUUGUUCGUGUGUGCCUCUAUGGGAGUUUUGUCUGUGU